GUCCAGACUCCUACGGGAGGCAGCAGUGAGGAAUAUUGGUCAAUGGGCGGAAGCCUGAACCAGCCAAGUCGCGUGAGGGAAUAAGGCCCUACGGGUCGUAAACCUCUUUUGCCGGGGAGCAAGGGCCGGGACGAGUCCCGGUCCGGAGAGUACCCGGAGAAAAAGCAUCGGCUAACUCCGUGCCAGCAGCCGCGGUAAUACGGAGGAUGCGAGCGUUAUCCGGAUUUAUUGGGUUUAAAGGGUGCGUAGGCGGGCUUUUAAGUCAGCGGUAAAAAUUCGGGGCUCAACCCCGUCCGGCCGUUGAAACUGGGGGCCUUGAGUGGGCGAGAAGAAGGCGGAAUGCGUGGUGUAGCGGUGAAAUGCAUAGAUAUCGCGCAGAACUCCGAUUGCGAAGGCAGCAUGCCGGCUCCACACUGACGCUGAGGCACGAAAGCGUGGGUAUCGAACAGGAUUAGAUACCCUAGUA
rnacentral:rRNA from 1 species